rnacentral:rRNA from 1 species
GACGAAGGGGGCUAGCGUUGUUCGGAAUUACUGGGCGUAAAGCGCGUGUAGGCGGUUAUCCAAGUCAGGUGUGAAAGCCUUGAGCUCAACUCAAGAAAUGCACUUGGUACUGGGUGACUAGAGGACCGGAGAGGAUAGUGGAAUUCCCAGUGUAGUGGUGAAAUACGUAGAGAUUGGGAAGAACACCAAUGGCGAAGGCGGCUAUCUGGACGGUUUCUGACGCUAAGACGCGAAAGCGUGGGUAGCAAACAGG